CAGCAGUAGCCGCGGUAAUACAGAGGGUGCAAGCGUUAAUCGGAAUUAUUGGGCGUAAAGGGUGCGUAGGUGGUCAUUUAAGUCAGAUGUGAAAUCCCAGGGCUUAACCUUGGAAUUGCAUUUGAUACUGGGUGGCUAGAGUACAGAAGAGGGAAGUGGAAUUUCCGGUGUAGCGGUGAAAUGCGUAGAUAUCGGAAGGAACAUCAGUGGCGAAGGCGACUUCCUGGUCUGUAACUGACACUGAGGCACGAAAGCGUGGGGAGCAAACAGGAUUAGAUACCCCGGUAGUCCCUGUCUCUUAUAC
rnacentral:rRNA from 1 species